UGCAGCAGGGUCUGGUACUGACUCUCAAAUAUGUUGCCAGAAACACAUGAUCACUGCUGAGAGCUUUUAUAACAGGAAUGUUUCUACUACUUCAGUGUCCCGUGGCUGACAUGAGUGCACUGCCUCUGAAUGAUCUCAGCCUUUAUCUUUUUUUAUUUCACAAGUUAUUAAGGACAAGGUGAAAACAGAAUCCCUAUCAGAUCCAAUAUUUCCCAUUAAGGCAUAACCAGGAGAUUCUACAUCAGCUAGUUAGUUUAGAUCAGUAAAUUCCUCAGGUCAUGUGGCCUUCUUUUACAUAUACUGUAAUUCUGAGAGAGCUGUGGCUCCCUGAAUAACUGUAACAGAAACAUGGAAACAGUUGAAAAUAAAGCAAACUGAAAGUGA